rnacentral:snoRNA from 1 species
GGGUCCAUUCUAAUCCCUGCCGGCCCUGCCGUGGCCUGCCAGGUUUCGCUUGUGGACUAGAGCAGCCUAGAAGCCCCACUCUGAGUGAGCAGGACUCCAGUGGGCUUCGUCCAGUGGGAGCUUCUGGACACGC